rnacentral:tRNA from 1 species
GCUUAAAUAGCUCAAAAGGUAGAGCAUUAGAUUGAAAAUCUAAUGGAGAAGGUUCAAUUCCUUCUUUAGGCA